rnacentral:tRNA from 1 species
UGAGGUUUAUUUUAGUAAAAAUACUGGUGUGUCAUUCCAGAGAGAGCUAUAACGCUAUCCUCGA